GAGGGGGUGCAGGCGUUAUUCGGAAUCAUUGGGCGUAAAGGGUGUGUAGACGGUAUAUUAAGUCAGCUGUUAAAUUUUCCGGCCUAACCGGAAGCCUGCGGUUGAAACUGGUUUACUAGAGGAUGGAAGAGAGAAGUGGAAUUCUCGGAGUAGCGGUAAAAUGCGUAGAUCUCGAGAGGAACACCAAUGGCGAAGGCAGCUUCUUGGUCCAUUCCUGACGUUGAGACACGAAAGCGUGGGGAGCAAACAGGAUUAGAUACCCUGGUAGUCCACGCCGUAAACGAUGAUCACUAGACGUUAGUUCUGUUUUACAGGAUUAGUGUCGUAGCUAACGCGUUAAGUGAUCCGCCUGGGGAGUACGGUCGCAAGAUUA
rnacentral:rRNA from 1 species